rnacentral:rRNA from 1 species
AGUGAACGCUGGCGGUAGGCCUAACACAUGCAAGUCGAACGGCAGCACAGUAAGAGCUUGCCCUUACGGGUGGCGAGUGGCGGACGGGUGAGGAAUACAUCGGAAUCUACUUUUUCGUGGGGGAUAACGUAGGGAAACUUACGCUAAUACCGCAUACGACCUACGGGUGAAAGCAGGGGAUCUUCGGACCUUGCGCGUUUGAGUGAGCCGACGUCGGAUUAGCUAGUUGGCGAGGUAAAGGCCCACCAAGGCGACGAUACGUAGCUGAUCUGAGAGGAUGAUCGGCCACACUGGAACUGAGACACGGUCCAGACUCCUACGGGAGGCAGCAGUAGGGAAUAUUGGACAAUGGGCGCAAGCCUGAUCCAGCCAUACCGCGUGAGUGAAGAAGGCCUUCGGAUUGUAAAACCCUGUUGUUGGGAAAGAAAAGCAGCAGAUUAAAACCCCGCUGUUCUGACGGUACCCAAAGAAUAAGCACCGGCUAACUUCGUG